rnacentral:lncRNA from 10 species
AGGUGUCUCAGGAGGUCCUGGAAACACAGGAGGGCAUACCCAUGCGUAGCUGGCGUUGGAACUGAUGAGGAGGUGCUGCUCUGUAGGAGUUGGUGCUAUCAGUGGGUCUCUGCUUACAGGACCUCUCACUGGCAAGAUCUAACUAAAAUACGGCUGGCAAUAAAAAUUUGGAAAGGUAAUCUGUGCGGUAUCAGAAACCUACAACACAUAAAAGAAGAACACAGGACAGAAAUCGACGCUGAAGGCAAGGAGGUAAAACUUGGAAGGAAUUUUGAAGAAGUGAAAACAAUUAUGUUGA